rnacentral:rRNA from 1 species
GUCUACGGCCAUGCCACCCUGAACAAGACCAAUCCUGUCUGAUCUCAGAAGCUAAGCAGGCUCAGGCCUGAUUAGUACUUGGAUGAGAGACCACCUGGGAAGAGCAGGUGCUGUAGGCA